rnacentral:rRNA from 1 species
ACGCACGCUGGCGGCGUGCUUAACACACGCAAGUCGAACGGAAAGGCCCUGCUUUUGUGGGGUGCUCGAGUGGCGAACGGGUGAGUAACACGUGAGUAACCUGCCCUUGACUUUGGGAUAACUUCAGGAAACUGGGGCUAAUACCGGAUAGGAGCUCCUGCUGCAUGGUGGGGGUUGGAAAGUUUCGGCGGUUGGGGAUGGACUCGCGGCUUAUCAGCUUGUUGGUGGGGUAGUGGCUUACCAAGGCUUUGACGGGUAGCCGGCCUGAGAGGGUGACCGGCCACAUUGGGACUGAGAUACGGCCCAGACUCCUACGGGAGGCAGCAGUGGGGAAUAUUGCACAAUGGGCGGAAGCCUGAUGCAGCAACGCCGCGUGCGGGAUGACGGCCUUCGGGUUGUAAACCGCUUUCGCCUGUGACGAAGCGUGAGUGACGGUAAUGGGUAAAGAAGCACCGGCUAACUACGUG